GAUGAACGCUGGCGGCGUGCUUAACACAUGCAAGUCGAACGAAGCACUUUAUUUGAUUUCCUUCGGGACUGAUUAUUUUGUGACUGAGUGGCGGACGGGUGAGUAACGCGUGGGUAACCUGCCUUGUACAGGGGGAUAACAGUUGGAAACGGCUGCUAAUACCGCAUAAGCGCACAGCAUCGCAUGAUGCAGUGUGAAAAACUCCGGUGGUAUAAGAUGGGCCCGCGUUGGAUUAGCUAGUUGGUGAGGUAACGGCCCACCAAGGCGACGAUCCAUAGCCGACCUGAGAGGGUGACCGGCCACAUUGGGACUGAGACACGGCCCAAACUCCUACGGGAGGCAGCAGUGGGGAAUAUUGCACAAUGGGCGAAGGCCUGAUGCAGCGACGCCGCGUGAGCGAAGAAGUAUUUCGGUAUGUAAAGCUCUAUCAGCAGGGAAGAUAAUGACGGUACCUGACUAAGAAGCACCGGCUAAAUACGUG
rnacentral:rRNA from 1 species